rnacentral:rRNA from 1 species
AUUGAACGCUGGCGGCAGGCCUAACACAUGCAAGUCGAACGAGUGGCGGACGGGUGAGUAAUGUCUGGGAAACUGCCUGAUGGAGGGGGAUCACUACUGGAAACGGUAGCUAAUACCGCAUACCAUCGGAUGUGCCCAGAUGGGAUUAGCUAGUAGGUGGGGUAAAGGCUCACCUAGGCGACGAUCCCUAGCUGGUCUGAGAGGAUGACCAGCGACACGGGAACUGAGACACGGUCCAGACUCCUACGGGAGGCAGCAGUGGGGAAUAUUGGACAAUGGGGGCAAGCCUGAUGCAGCAAUGCCGCGUGUAGGAAGAAGGCCUUCGGGUUGUAAAGUACGUUCAGCGGGGAGGCGUUACCCGCAGAAGAAGCACCGGCUAACUCCGUGCCAGCAGCCGCGGUAAUAC